rnacentral:rRNA from 1 species
GAUGAACGCUGGCGGCGUGCCUAAUACAUGCAAGUCGAGCGAACAGACGAGGAGCUUGCUCCUCUGACGUUAGCGGCGGACGGGUGAGUAACACGUGGAUAACCUACCUAUAAGACUGGGAUAACUUCGGGAAACCGGAGCUAAUACCGGAUAAUAUAUUGAACCGCAUGGUUCAAUAGUGAAAGACGGUUUUGCUGUCACUUAUAGAUGGAUCCGCGCCGCAUUAGCUAGUUGGUAAGGUAACGGCUUACCAAGGCAACGAUGCGUAGCCGACCUGAGAGGGUGAUCGGCCACACUGGAACUGAGACACGGUCCAGACUCCUACGGGAGGCAGCAGUAGGGAAUCUUCCGCCAUGGGCGAAAGCCUGACGGAGCAACGCCGCGUGAGUGAUGAAGGUCUUCGGAUCGUAAAACUCUGUUAUUAGGGAAGAACAAAUGUGUAAGUAACUGUGCACGUCUUGACGGUACCUAAUCAGAAAGCCACGGCUAACUACGUG